rnacentral:rRNA from 1 species
AUUGAACGCUGGCGGCAGGCCUAACACAUGCAAGUCGAGCGAGCGGCGGACGGGUGAGUAAUGUAUGGGGACUGCCCGAUAGAGGGGGAUAACUACUGGAAACGGUAGCUAAUACCGCAUACUAUCGGAUAACCCAUAUGGGAUUAGCUAGUAGGUGAGGUAAUGGCUCACCUAGGCGACGAUCCCUAGCUGGUCUGAGAGGAUGAUCAGCCACACUGGGACUGAGACACGGCCCAGACUCCUACGGAAGCAGCAGUAGGGAAUAUUGCACAAUGGGCGCAAGCCUGAUGCAGCCAUGCCGCGUGUAAGAAGAAGGCCCUAGGGUUGUAAAGUACUUUCAGUCGAGAGGCGUUACCGACAGAGGAAGCACCGGCUAACUCCGUGCCAGCAGCCGCGGUAAUUC